ACCUCACCUGGCCCUGACACAGACAGGAUUAACACAUUGAGAGCUCUUUCAUGAUUCCAUGGUUGGUGGUCAUUCCUAGUGGAGCAAUUUGUCUGGUUAAUUACAGUAACAAACGAGACACUGGCAUGCUAACUAGUUACACACCCCCUAAGCAGUCAGCAUCCAACUUCUUAGAGGGACAAAUGGCAUUCAGCCACCCAGAACUCCAUUUGUGAUGGGGAUCAGG
rnacentral:ncRNA from 1 species